rnacentral:lncRNA from 1 species
AAAGUUAAACUUGAUGCUGGAAUUGGUCGGAAUGGCAGAAAAUCUGGCAAUCGCCUGCAUGAUCUUAAAUGCACAUGCGUUAGCAAAAGAUAUGUACCUUCAUUAUAUUGUUCUUGUAUUUCCAUUGCAGCUUCUCUCUUCAGGGAAAUGUUGAGUGAGUGUGUAAAGUUUCCUCCUCACCUCCGAAGUCUCUCAGACGCUUAUCACCACUGUGUCUCCUAUCAUAUAUAGGGGUACUCUUCAUUUCUUUUUCUGCAUGUUAUGAGGAUCGGAUGCGCAACGUUCUAUUGUUGAAUUCUGUAAUGACAUUAAAUAUAUAAAUAUGAAAAGCUUGUGGUAAAUAUUCGUUUGGAAACACGCAGAAAAUGAACAUUAAAUAAAUAAAUAUGAAAAGCUUGUGGUAAAUAUUCAUUUGGAAACACGCAGAAAAUGAACGUCUUUGAGAGAAAUGUGACAUUCAUUUUUUUCGGCACUAAAAAUUCAUGCGUGUAUUAAAUCAAUCACCUGGUAAGGCCUUCAAGUUGUUUGUGGACCAUUCCCGUACAAGUUAAAAACUUAUGCGAGGUCAUUCCAGUAUUGUAUAUAUUUACUCUAAAGUUUUAGGGUUUUUCACAAACAAAAUAAUAUUUUAAUUUUUUGAAAAAAUAAAGUUAGAAUAAGAAAAAUAUAAUUAGAAUUUCCUAUUCGAGUGCUAUUUUUCAAAAACAAAAACUAAUAAGAUUUAAAGCCUUUUAUUGUACAUUCCAUUAUACACACAAACAUAAUUAUAUUAUGGAUCAGCAUAAUACAAUUUUUUUUAUCAUAUAUUUUUUUCUUUCAACUUUAUCCUUUCACGAUGAUUUUAUUUGAGAUUGAUCUUGAUAGUUUGUUUUAAUGGCCUCAAUGCAAGGUUAUCAUGGAGUAAAAAAAACAUCUUGCCAUUGAGUUAUCACUCGAUUUUGCAAAUAAAAAAUGCUUGGAUUUUUGUUUUCCAUAUGAUUGAAAUUGAGGGACUUACAAUUGAGAAUCAACAAAAAACUCCGGCCCUUUUCGUUCAUAGAGGGAAAGAAAAAAAUUCCAGGCGUGGGAAUCGAGUGGAGGAGAUAUAAAAAAAAGUAAAAGGAAAAGAAAGAGAAAAAUAUUUGGUUGUUGGACCCAUACUAAAGCUCUGUCUUUUCCACAUGCCAUCUUGGAAGGAUAUUAUCGCCACGACGAUUUCAACAUUAUUAAGAAAGGCUAUCAUCAGAGCUUGGAGAAAGUUGCACACGCCUCCCAAAUGAAACUUUCUUCCUGACACGUUGACGCGUGAAUUACAUGUGCUGAAUAAAAAUAAUAAUUUAGUCCUAGAUUCUUUGUGUAAUCUUCAAUUUAAUCUCAAAUUUCAUUCUACCCAAUCCCAAUAAAAGCUGGAAAAGCAAAACUUUUAAUUUUUUGUUGUUUCUCCUUUUAAAAUCACAACGUUUAUCUAUUGAUAGAUAAAUAAAAAAGGAUUUAGCUUAAAUUUAUGGUUAAGAGAGUGAUUGGAUAUUCAUUAAUAACUAAUAGCAUUAUAUCCAAAAUCAAAGAUAUUCUUAUAAUUUUUUUUUAUGAAUCAUAGAUUUUAUAACAAUAUAAUUAAUGGUUAGAAAUAAGCAUGAAUUAUUUAGAUGGAAAACCAAGAUUUUUUAAAAUAAAAUAAUAGAACACCAAGGAAUAACUAAUAGUAAAUCAUUAGUUAUUACUUAAGUAACAUCAAAUUAGUUAAGGAAUAACUAAUUAUACAGUCAUAUUGUAUCAACUAAGGGAUCGAAGUUAGAAAACGAAAACAAGGAAAACAAAAACAUGGAAAACCAAGAUUUUUUAAAAUAAAAUAAUAGAACACCAAGGAAUAACUAAUAGUAAAUCAUUAGUGUAUACUUAUAACUAAUUAUACAGUCAUAUCGUAUCAACUAAGGGUCUUUCUUGUACUUUUAUGGAUCGAAGUUAGAAAACGAAAACAAGGAAAACAAAAACAGGUAAAAACCUCUUGCAUCAAAAGGAGCAGAAGCCGCAACACGGAGAGGAGAGGCCCUGCAAGCACGCAUAACACGUGGCAGAAGGGAGAUGACUCGAAUUUAUGACGACAUAUGGAAGACCCACUACUCAAUUCCUGCCGGUAAAAAUGUUAACAUUCAUUCCUUUUCCUCUUCUUUUUUAUCCAUUUAUACUCGGUUGUGAUAGAAGUAGAGCACUUGCUUUAUUUGCCUUCAUCUGAGGAAAGGAUAAAAUUCAAAAUUAGGAAAAAAUUAGGUCACAGAUUUAGGAUCGAUCGAGUCAGCUUUCUUGCUUGCCUGCUUGCUAGCUGACGAGAGGAUGGGCCGUAAGAAAGUGGAGCUAAAACGAAUUGAAAACAAGAGCAGUCGCCAAGUUACUUUCUCAAAGAGGCGAAAUGGAUUGUUCAAGAAAGCUCGUGAACUCUCCGUUCUUUGUGACGUACAAGUCGCCAUCCUUGUCUUUUCAAGUUGCGACAAGCUUUAUGAAUUCUCUAGCGUUGGCAGGUACCCAACUCUUUUUAUUUUUUAGGUUAAAACCUCGUUCUCAGGUCCCUUGAUUACCAACAGAAGCAUUGUUUUUGUUCUUGCACAUAAAUCGCUUGUUGAUUUCUUUGGUUUGUCAAUUUUCUAGGGAUUUGGUGCUUAUCGUUGCUUAUACGCGAGCAGUCAUGGCUCGCACAUGUUGUGAUCUUUUGUUUCUUUGAAAGGAAAAGCCUUUAGUGUAUGUGUAUUAUUUGCUGCAUGCGUGUUCAUCCAUCCAUACAAAAUAUAAAGACACGAAACUUUCUGUUGAACAAUCGAACAAAACUUGUUGACAAUCCUAUACAUUUAAAUGCUUAACUUAGUCUUUUCGUUAGGAUUCUGUCAUCGAUUUCAAACUCAUCUCUGUAUUAAUAAUUUGUUUAAUUACAUGAUGUUUAUAUAUAAUUUUCUCUUAAUUACGACAAAUAAUUAACUACCAUGCAAUUGCUAAGCUAGAUAGUUAUAACAUGGAUAAACAAAUUUCGCGUAAUGAGGAUGAGCAUUUAAUUAACCUAUAUGUAAUGAUGACAUCUAACCUAUACACAGUUAGGGGAAAAAAAAACACUCACGCUCAUGUGCUAAUCUUCAAAGAUGUCAAUGGUCAAUCGGUUAUCAAUUCAGUUAUUAACCCUCUGUCAGCUAAAACAUUAAUUAUAAAAUAUAUAAUAUUAAAAAAGUCAAAUAGAAUUUGCACAUGGAAUAAUUAUAGUAUUUCAAUACUUAAUACGAAAACAGUUGAAAGAGGUAAAUAUUAUUCUUUCAGUUCAAAUAUGGUACGUCAUAAUGAAAACCAUAAUCAUAAUCAAAACUACGUCAAUUAUUAACUACAACUGAACCAACCAUAAUAUACGUGGCCAGUCAGUUCUCUUUUUAUUAAAUCUAGAAUAAUAUGUUUGGAACCCUAUAAUUAAAUUGAAUUAAGAGAUUUUAAUGAAAUAACAUGUUUGGAAUACUAUUAAAUAUUAAGAAUUGAAUUUUAAAUGGAAUUCAAUCUUUAAAAAUACAUACUACAAGUAAAUCAAAGAUCAACCCAUCUGAUUUACAAUUCCAAAGAGAAAAAAUUUAAUAUGAAAACUAACUUUCUUAAAAUACCUAUCUAGCUUUUUUUUUAAAAAAAAAGAUUUUUGAAGAACUAAAGUAAAUUAGGUAAUGAGAGUAAUAUAAAAAAUAAAAUGAAUUGAAUUUGAUCUUUUUCAAAUACGUGAAUUCAACUUAUUCAUCAAUUAAAUUCAAACCAAACAUUAUAUUAAUAUUUGAAUUCAAUUACAAUAGAGAGUUGAUUCAAACAACCUAGAAAUGUACUAUCUUUGUCCCAAAUAUAAACCCAGACUUAUUUUAUAAAACAAUUGGAUUUGUUUUAAAAUCUUAAUUAAAUUAUGAUACCAUUACUCAAAUAUACAUGGCAUAAGAAAAUCUUCUCACUUGUACUCUUAUGGGCAUGGAAGUUGUAAAACUUGGUUCACGUUACAGCAUUAUUUUGGUAUACGAGUUCAAUUUUCAUUCUAUAAAAAAUUUGACUAUCCACUUGGAUAAAAUCUUGAAAAAAUUUUCCAUAGAAAAUUUAUUCACGAGUUACUAUUUUAGGCCAGGAUAUAUGAGUUUGAUAUGGUUCUUAUGUCUAGAUUUACUGGUUGAGUUUGAUCAAUGAUUAAAAGUUUUCUUGAAAAAAUAAGUUUUUUAUAGAAUAAAAGACUCUUCGCUACUUAAAUUAGUAGAUAUAUGCAUAAGAAAAUUGAAAACAAAUAUAAGUGUAGAAAAAUGUUGAAUUUGAAACAUGUUUUGUUUACUUGGUGACGAAUGUAUUUAUAGAUCUUGGUCAUAUUAGAUUACCUCGUGAGUUGCAUAAAAAUUCAUUAGUGAAAAUACUGUGUUCAUUAUUGAAUAUAAACAUGUUAUUGGUGAAGUGAUUAGUAAAUAUUAAUGACAAUAAAUAUUGAUAAAAAAAAAGUGUUUGAUUGCAUUGAAUGUGGUGUAUAUUUGUAUUACCUAUCAUUGGCUAGAAAGAUAUUAGCAAUCCUAUGUAAAAACAUGUCCUUGAAGAAAAUGUUAUAGAAUAUAUCAACAAAUUGUAAAAAUUUUGUGCGUGUGUGGCGGUGUAUAAUAUCGAGUUUUGACCCUUCAUAACUUGAAAAACAGUACAUUAAAAUGUGUGUUAAUAGUUGAGAAUUAGUAAGAUGUGUGCUAAUAGCUGCCAGCCUAAACGGAGUGCCAAUUUUAUUUUAUUUUAAUGCGCAACAUCACACGUCAUCUUCAAUUACUGGAUCAAUUGGAUGAUAACCUUAAUUUCACUAACACUCUCGAAUACUAACAUAUAAAUUUCACUCCCAACUCUUGUUAAAAAGAAGACGGAUUAUUAGAAAAGAAAAUUUAAUUUCUAAAAGCUAUGUUAAAUCACACUUAUUUCAAUAUUUUCUAUUUAUACAUCAUUUGACUUAACACAUUAACACUUUACUUAAGUAUCAAAAUUUUAAAAAUACAACCUUGAAGGGUGUAGCUCAACUGGUCAGGUCUUAAAUUUGCUCUCUAGAGGUCAACGAUUCAAGUCUCACAAACCUCAGGACCACUGAAGGUUUAUAUUAUCGUUAACUUUAGGGCCCGUGAGAUUAGUCGAAGUGCCCGCAAGCUGGUCUGGACACCCACGUUAAUAAAAAAAAUUAAAAAUACUUAAAAAUAAAAUAAGAAAAACUGAUUUUACUAGAUUUAGAAAAGAACCAAUGCACAUCAAAAUUUAUCAAAUUAUUGAACUAGAUCCUCUAUUUUUCUUCAUAAGGUCUUCUUAUUUUUUUUUUUAUUGUUUAACAUUAACUUCAAGCCAUUUAAAAAUUCACAAAAUUUAUGUUAUUACUUUUGAUAGACUCAACCAAUAUUAUAAACUCUACCAAUGUUAUAAAAAUAUUAACUUAAUAAAAAUAAAUCUUUAAAGUUCUUAUCCAUCUAUGUAUUGUUAAUUUUGCUCCACGUCACAUAUAAUUGAAAAGAGUUCUUCAAAUAAAAAGAUUUGUAUAUAGUAUAACAUUAAUGCUAUUAUAAUUGCAUUAAAGGAUAUGUAAGAGCCAUCAAUUUCAUAUUAAAUAAAUAAAAUUUAAAAAAAUAAUAUAUAAAGUUAAGAAUGUAUUAUAAACCAUAAAACUUAAAGUCUAGGUCUUUUGAAUCAAAUUCAAAUUCAAAUUCAAUUAUCAAAUAUAAUAGUUAAUAAGAUUUGAGUAAAAUUAAUUUCUUCACAUCUUAACACCUUAUAUCUUCAUGCAAUAUAAACAGAUUUUAUUAAAAAAUUAUCUCUUUUAGAAAAAAAAAUGGAGAAAUAUAUUUAUCAUGAUAAUUAUUGAGUUAGAAAAAUACAUUGUAGUUUUAUUAUGUUAAAACUUAAAUGUUAGUGUCUAUCAUCUAAUAACUUAUCAAACUUAUAUUUUCUGCAAAAUCUUUUCAAGAGUUUUAAACUAUAGAUAUUUAUUAAAUAUUGUAGUAAAAUAACUUUGAAAAAUUAUUGGAUUACUUAUUAUUAUUAUUUUAAUAUCAAUGAUUCUAUUUAUUAUAAGUAUGUUAAUAAACUUUGGAUUUAGUCAAAGCACUCAACUUUGAAUUUAUUAUUAUAUUUAUUCGAAGCACUCAAAUUUGAAUUUAGUCAGAGGAGAGUUAUGUAAGCCAUGUGAGAGAUAUAACCAGGAUAAUUUAUAGCAUAUUAUUUUUGUAUCUAAUAGUUCGAUGUCAUCAUCUAAUCAAACUAGCUUUUUAAAAUAAAAAUGAAAAAAAGUAUUUUAUAAAAAAAUUGGAACUUCGUUUUUCUUUAUAUAUAUAUAUUUUAUUUUAAUCUUGGAAGUACUAUAUAAAUUUAUUACAAUAACAUGAUACCAAAAAUAUCAUUUCAACUUCUAAGUAUACUUACUAGAGAUUAUCUAUGUAUUAAACAUUGAAAGAUGGUACUUCCAUUUUACGUCUUGACUUUUAUUUUCUAUGUUUUAAAAAUAGAAUAAAUUAUCAAAAUGUAUAUAAACUUGCUUGCCUUCAAAUCAAAUAUCUUAAUUUGACAAGUAUUCAUGAUUUCUCAUUAAUUAUUAAUCCAUAACAAGCUACAUAUAUUAAAGAUCAGAAGAUAUUUUUAAAAUAGUUAAAUCAUACAUGUGUGACGCUUGUAAAAAAAACUAGUAGUCAUUAAAUGUCCUAAGAUUUUUACUUGAUGUUCGACCCAUCAGAUCUGUGAUGGACAUCAUGUUGUUAUCUCUCGUGAAGUUCUUCACUUCGUAAUAAUCAGAAAGAUCUUUUUUUAUUACUGCUACAUAAUGCAGAGACCAUGGGAUUAUUUGUUCCUAAAUUCUUUAGGAUGUUAACUUCUUUUUUUCUUAAAACAGAAAAUUCUAGCUCCUAAGGUGGAAAGGAGGAGGAUGUAUGAGAGGUUAUUGGUAGAGAAUCAUAUAAAUUAUAUCUUGAGAACUUACUUAACAAUAUAAGUUUUUGGGUUAAGAUAGUUCUUUAACAUAAUAUUAGAGUCUUGUAGAUUAAGCGAUCAUGAGUUUAAAUCUCACCACCCUCAAUCUAUUUGAUAAACAUUAAGCACAAUGUACUAUAAGUCUAUGCAAGUUUCAAGCCCCAGGGGCUUUCAUUUGAAAGGAUGUGUUAGAGAAUUAUAUAAAUCAUAUCUUUGGACCUCACCUAACAGCUUAAGCUUUUGGGUUGAGAUGAUUAUUUGACAAUCAAGGUUGUUAAAAUCACGAGUUGACUCAUAAAAUCGUAUACUUAUCGUGCAAAAUCACAAAGAAAUGGGAAAUGAUAAAAUCAUACUAAAAUCAUGUAAAAUCAUGAAAAUUUGGUAAGAUUGUGAUUUUACUACCAAUCAUGAGCCCCACAAACGCUUGUAUCUAUGGAUUCUUUCUUCAAUCAAUAGUGCAAAGAUGAAAGAAACAUAGUUUUGCUUAAACCUUUCCUAACAAAUAAAAAAUUAUCUAUUAUAGGACAAAACUUUGAAAAUUCUUAUUCUAUAAGGAUUUUUUUUUACAAACAGGAGUGACAAACCAUAUUUUAAAAUUUGAUCCACCAUGUAUUUAUGCUUAAAUACCAUAGUUUUUUAAACAAGUUUACAUCAUUAUGAUUUCUCUAUAAAAAAUCUCAUAACUUGUCUAAGAUAUGAUUUAAUAAGGAACUAGACUUCAAGAUUAAAAAAAAUCAUACUUUGAAUUGUUUGAAUCAUUCAUUUUAGUUCAUACAAAACCUACAAUUCCUUAUUGAUUCACCUGUUGAGAUUCAUGGUGUGUAACAAAUAAUAUCUAAAACUUAUAAAAGUAUAACAAUAUCUAGAAGAAAGAAUAAUCAUAUCAAAAAGUGAUGUAUUAUUCAUCAAGGCAAAAAACAUCAGAUAAGCUAAAACAUUACAAAUGAUCAUGCAUUUAAAAGGAGCAAUGGAACUGGUGUUAGCCAACAUGAAAGCAUAGUUAUGAAAACAUACUUGUUUUCAAUGUUUUUUUCUUAACGUGAAGUUUUACCAACCACUCCUAACUUUUUUUUCUUGGAUCUUGCAUGGUGGGAUUUUGUCAUACAAGAACAAUUAUACCAUAUUUUUAUUGAUGGAAUUGCUUAUUUUUUGUAUUAACAAUGUAUGAAAAAAAAUUACUUAUGAUUUUAUGAUUUGUUUUUACAAUCCGAAUUUACAUUUUAUUUUUCAUAUCGUGUUAAAAGAGCGUUUUUAACAACCUUGGUUAUAACUGCAUAAUGCUAAUGAAAGAAAUAAAUUGAAAGGAUUCAUCUCUCUUUCAUUAUCACAUUUUCAAUCUUCCUAACAUAAAAGAGAAUGAAGUAAAACACACAAUUUUUGUUUUCCCCUGAGGUGGUUCUUUAAUGAAAGCACGUGAUGGAAUAUAAUUGUGCAUGACGGACAAUAGGUUGUGUGCAAUAAGAUUGACAAGUUUCUAUUACGAGAAUGAGAUUACCUAGAAUCUAACUCUUGACCCCUUAUGAUAUAGGGCGUAAAGGGCGUAAAUGUGUGCAUGGGUUGGGUUGAUUUAGACCAAAAUCGACAUCCAACCCAAAAUAACCAUUUUGUCCAAUAUGAAACAUGACCCUAUAUGAAAAGAUCAAACAAGUGGUUGCGAAAGAAAAGGGUUUGAUGAAGAAAAUUCAUGAUCCGUAGAAUCAAAAGCUUGCAGAUUAAUCAUCAAGCUACAUGAAAUUAAACUAAAAAAAGGCAUCUAUUAGAAACAAAAACCAAUUAUAUCUUAACUGUUAAUAAGACUAGAUUUUUUUUCAAGGUGAAUGAUUUGAUAGGUGGAAGGUUCUCUUUUUCCGAAAUAGUUUUUUUGUAAUCUUGAAUUCAUAGUGAUGGGUGAAUAAUUUAAGUGGUACAAGGUAGGAUUUUUUUAUGUGGUCACUAUCAAACACUUCUUUCGUAAGUGUAUGGAGCCUUUGUCACAUCAAUAUCUAUAAAGGAGCGAGAUAUGGUUUCUUAGUUAAAAUCUUCUCCUAAGUGUAGCUAAGUUUCUUAGAGCUAUCAAACAAUGAUUUUGACUUUAAUUAAUGCCAUGAUGAUCCAAUCCCUUAAACCCCUCUUUUCAUGGAAUAUAAGCACAUAAGAUUCCUCUUAGAAAUCUUCAUGAUUUGAAUGAAGGUUUUUUGAUUGAUCGUAUUACAUGAUAAACAUUUUAUAAGAUCUUUCUAAUGUACACAUCAUGUUGUUGGAUGAAAACAUAAGAAAGUGACAGCUUAAAACUAAUGAUUUUUCAUAAUACAAAAGAAUGACAAAUGUUUUUAUUGGUUAGGAUAACAUCUAUUUGUUCUUCGACCAAGCAAAGUUUUGCAACGAACUAAGAAAUCAAACCAAAAAAUCAUCUAUUUGUUCAUUGUCUUAUGCCAUCGAAUUGAUUAUUUUGAGGUGUUGUUUUACUCACCCUGAUACAUUGUCAUCUUGCUAGGUAUAAUUAAAUAUUAUAUUAUUUAUCUCAAGAUUUGAUUUUAGUUACCAAGACUCAUCUUGUUCUUAUACAAUACAGUACAACCAGUAUCCUCAAGCGUUACACGAGUCAUUUUAAAAAAAAGGCAACUUCAUCCAAAGAUGCUAAUCAUGCAGAGGUAUGCAAUGCUUCUGUCAUUUGGAUUAUUGGUAGUGCAAAUACCGUCAUAACAACAGAGAGAAUUAAGAAAAAGAAAAUAGAUUUAUGGCUUGAUUUUUUACAUAGCAUUAUUCUUUCCUCAUUUCUAAAUUUAUAUUCCUUGUAGUAUGGAACAACUGCUAAAUAUAUAUUUCCUAAGCAGGUAUAUUGUGGUAAACAUGCGAACUUGAAAUCACUUGCAGAGCUGCUACUAAUGGUUGAAAGGUUUCUCGUUCAAUUUCCAGCAUACUUACUUCAUGUGUUAACUUAAUUAAAAAUGCGUAACAUCUACUAACGUAUGUUCUGUCACAGGAACCUUGAAGGUCCAUAUGCUAUGGAGUUGACCUUGAGUGACCUCGUGGAACUAGAGAAACAACUGAAUGCUACUCUAACACAUGUCAGAGCUAGAAAGGUUAAUUGUCUCUCUUUUGUGAAUUCUUUUGUCCUUUGUCAUUUGAAAUCCGUAUUGUGAUGCAUCGGGAACCCUCUUAUUUCCACUGGACAAGUGUUAUAAAUAUUUUAGAUUGUGUUCCUCGAUACUUGCACCAUUUUAUACUUGACAAACUCUGCAUCAGGAUUUGAGCUUGGUUUAGGGCGUCUUCUUCCAUACCUAUGAUGCAGCAAAGAGAAGAGUUUUAAAGCAAAAUCUAACCUUCAUAUAACCAGAUUCUAUAAUACUGGAUCACGCAUUCCCAGAUAAGUGAACUAUCUCACUGUGACCUAAUUUUAAAACAUCCAGGGACCAACGAGAGAAACACUGACCAAUUAUCUAACUAUCCAAUAAUUAUUAAAAUUAGGAUAGAGAAUAAAUAUAGACGUUUAAUUUAUUUUAGGACAUGUGCUUACUCCAAAGUCAUUUUCAAAAUGCGUGGUCUAAGGUUCAUUUAUACCGAAGUCAUUGUGGACACGUUUGGGUUAGGAUCCCCUAACACUAAAGUCAUCGUACAGGUUGCCUGGUUUCAGGUACAUCACAAAGUUAGGCUUUUACUAUAUGAUGCUUAAAUAUCUUGGUACAAAGUUUGCAUUUCACCUUCUUCAAUGAAAUGUAUAGUUUAUAGUUCAUAGUUUACAAAAGUUCUAAUAUCAUUAGAACUAUGUAAUGUUUGACAAUAUUAUUAGUGCUAUGAAAUAUUAUGAGUCCAGUUGAUCACAUAAUCAUAUAAGUUCUUCUAAUAGCCUCACACAUUCCAACAACUUCUAGUAGAUCACAACAACAAACAACUUGUUUUUUGUUGCAGUAAACAAUAGGAGAUCUUUAAAUUGUUAAAGGGAUAAAAAAGCUUAACAAUCAGAAUUACAGUACAUGGGCAACAUGUAUGAUGUCGUACAAGCAAGGCUAGGAUCUAUAAGAGAUAGUCAAGGACGUGAAAACACAUGAACUUCCAGAAAUACUAAUGGAGUCCUUGAAGAAUAUAUGUUGAAGAAUAUUUGGGAUGCUACAAUGCCAAAAGAAGCAUGAGACACCAUUGCUAGUAUUUUGAUACUAUAUUUUAAUUUCUCGAGAAUGAGUUAUUGACACAAUAAGAUAUGAUGAUUCCUCAAUGCUUUAAUUAGGUGAAAUUGUGAGAUUUCUAAAUUAGACUUUGAAGCAACUAUUAGUGAAACAAGGAUGAAAAGAAUAAUCAUCCAUGGUUGGAAACCUAAAUAUCAGACUUUUGUUGCUACACUACAAGGAUGACCUACUCAACCAUCAAUAGUUAAGUUUAAAAAUCUGCAUGUUAGUCAAGAAAAUAUGGCUAAACAUAUGACGGGAGUCUCAUUGAAGGGUGAAGAGAAAUUACUCUACACAAACAAUGGCAGGAGUAAACAGUGGCUUACUCGUGAGGACAGAAUUCACAAUUGGCACAUUGGUGGUAAAUCUAAUAAGGAUGGUGAUAAAAAAGAAUUAUCGAAGGAAAGAAGGCUUUCAUAAAAAAAGGAGCUUUAAAGAAUUAUGAAAAUGAUAGAAGAAUUGAAGGCAACUGUUAUAAUUGUGGAAAGAGUGAUCACAUAAAGAAAUAUUAUUGGUUCAAAAGGCCUAUUAAAGAAAUUACCAUAAUUGUGGAAACAAUGUUAUUAUUUCAAGUUUAGAAAGGCAGGUUGAAGAUGAAUGGAAUGCUAAAGCAUCCUUUGUCAAAGAAGGGGAAGAAUUAGCAUUGACAAUGAUAAUUGACGAUUGAAUCAAUUAUGAAAGUGAUUGGAUCAUUGCUCCAGUGUUGUAAUCACAUGAAAGGUGAUAAACAAAAGUUACAGCAUCUAACAAAGUAAAAGAAGAAAAAAUUGUGUAGUGGUGAUAACUGACAACUCAAGAUUACCAAUCACUUAUAUUGGUAAGAUGAUAAACACGCUUCGCUAUAAAUCUGAUCAUGUACAUCUUCAAGAUGUUUAUCAUGUCUCAAGCACGAAGAAAAAAUUAUUGUCUAUAGUAUAAUUAACAUGAAUAGGCUAUUAUGUCUUGUUUGGUCUAUAUGAUGUUAAAAUAUAUCAGGAUUGUGAUUGUGAUCAAGAUUGCGACCGUAAUCUUGAUCAUGAUGGAGAACCAAAUCAACAACUAGAACUCUCUUCUAUUGAUCCUUGUAAAGAGAAGGUUUCAUUACAAGUUUAAAGCUCUAAAGGUAUUUUUCUUUCAUGCAAAGAAAAAGAAUGUGAACAAGAUGAAGUAUAGUCUAUUGCAACACCUAUAAGGUCAUCUCUAUGUAAUGAAGCUGCAUUACCAAAUCAUAUAUAAGGAAGUAACAAUGGUUCUUAUCCGAAUAAAGAAGAUAAUUCUGAAUGUCCAAUGUCUAUGGAGAGUUCUUUGGCUCGUUUUGAAAAAUAAAAACUUUUAUCAAAAGAUGAUGCUUGGGAAGGUGGGAAUUGUUCAAACAACCUAUAAUAGCAAAAGUUGGACGCAAAGCUGGACCAGUCAUCUACAAAGAUGGAUGUUAUUCCUCAAGUUGAAAAUUCUGUUCGGAAGUGUUAUCCUUCUCGAAGAAGAAUUUUUGCUCUUAGAGACUUUCAAUGCUCCAUUUCUUAAUAAGAAAGAAGUUGUUGUGUAAAAAAAGUGUUUGGGUCAAGAAAAGUCUAAAGAAAAUUUGAUAACUAAUGAUGCUAAGGGAAAAAGUUUUAAGAAAGCUUUAAGAGCUAUAUGGUGUCAUUGUUGCUUAAAAUGUAGAAUUGAAGAAUUUAGUUGAUAACAUUGAAGGCAAGCUAUAAGAAAUAGAAGACUUGCAACCCUAAAGUUACUCUCAGUUGGAAAAGCUAGGAAUCUAGUUAGAGGUUUGAAAGAAUAUAAUUGAUUAUUAUGACAGACACUAUCUUCAAUCCACUAUUUGUUGCUUGAUUGCUAGUUUGUUUUCUAUUCUAGAAUUUUAGAACAUUGAAGUGUAUUUUGUAUUCCUGGGCACAUCCCGUUCACCAGCACAACUAUACUAUCUCGUAAUAUCACUACAGUUCUUUUCAUCAUUUUUCUUUUUGUUUCAGAUACAAAUGAUGUUGGAAUCAGUGAAGUCCCUCCACGACCAGGUAUGAAAGUGCAUUUGGUUAUAACUGCUUUGAAAAUCAUUUUCUGCAAUAUAUAAACCCCCAUUUGCAAUCAAUGCAUGAAUGCUGCAUGGAGAGAGCAAGACAUGAUCUUAGGAUCCUCAUUUUUCUCUAGUAGCUCUUUUGACCAGAGAAGGUUUCUGAUACAAAAACUUCCAGGUUUGCUUAUCAUCAUACAAUCCAAGUAUGAGAAAACUUCCGAAACAUCUUAUUCAUAAUUAAGAAAACCUACCUGUUGUUUGCAUCCAACAUUUUAUAGCUGCUAAAAUGCUCAGAUCAUGUCAUGUCCAGGAGUCCUGGACCAGCAUAUAGCAUCCCUUUACUGCAUCAAUGAUAUCUGAAUUAAUUGUCAACGAUGAUCUUCCAAGGAUGCAAUCGGUCUAUUGAUCAUGCUUUAAUUGUCGUCUAAGAACUUUUGAUCAACCUCCUGCAUUAUGUUUCAAAUGGGCAUGCUAUCCUGAAGUUUAAUUAAAAAAAAAUCCAGAAUGCUUCUUAGCAAAAUAGUAGAAUAGAACGGUCCUAAGCAAUUAUGGCUAGUCAACCUUAAUGAGCUUUAGGUGAUAUUAUUGCAUUCCUAAUUUCUGGUUUUACUGUUGGAUAACUAGCACUAUUCAUUGUUGGGCAUAAUCAAUUCGUAAGUCUUUCCUACUGUCUGUUAAAAACUGUUUCCUAAGGAUGUCGAAGCUAAAAUUGACUUCAAAAGUAAGGCUUGCUUAUCGUACAAUCCAAGUAUGAGAAAACUUUCGACUAAAAACUAUUUUGCUGCAUACUUCGAAUCCUUGCACAUUAUUAUGAUCUCUAGAAGAAUAAUGCAUGAUAUACUGUGUGGUGAGAUGGUCAAGUUUGGGCCUAUGUCCCCCCUGUAUUGUCUGACCAUGGUCAAGUUUGGGCCUAUGCAUAGUCUCUAGUAACCGUUCAUUCUUAUUCGAGGAACAUCAUUAGGUAAAUCAAUGAAGUAAGAUAGUUACUAAAUUAAAUGUCACGAGGAAGGGAAAGCAGUAAUUUAUGAAUAGAAAGCAAGCCACAGACGAGAAAAAAAAUCGUGCGGGCUUUCUGCUCUUUCUUUGUUUUCUUUAGUGCUGUGUGCUCAAGUGCAGUUUGCCUGUGUGCCAUUCUACAUGAAUGAAGUGAUCUCAUAAUCAAAUGUCUUUAUUAUUUAUAUAUAUAUAUAUAUAGGAAAACUGAAUUAGGUAACUUUGAUUUUUAUAUGAAUGUCUUUUGCUCUCAACAGGAAAAGAUGGUUAAAGAAGAAAACCAGCUGCUAGAGAAACAGGUAAAGAGUGUUUAAUCCUGUUGCCAUUUGCUCUUUCAGCAAGUGCAUAUUGGAAUUUUACUUGCAACAUGUGGAAAGCUGGGUUAAUUGUAUUACGUGCAGAUUGUAGCAAUGAAGAACGGUAAAGACUCGGAUCACCCUAUGUAUCAUCCUCCACAGCAAACGACACUGAGUUUGCUUAAAUAGUGAGGCAGCACAUGCAGUGUGAUAACUUACCGCUGGAGGCGGCUAUAAUGGCAGGCAAUCUAGUUACCUCUUCGAUCUCACAUGCAUGCACUAGCCCAUUUUACCUUCAUUAUCUUCCUGCUGAAGUUGCAUUUCCACCGUUUCUGCUUCUCUUCUCUUUCUUAUUUGAGCUGAUGUUUAAGUAUCCUCCACCCUCCCAAGCAUUUUAACUCUGUUUCCAAACAUUUCCAUUUAUUCAAAAGCAUAUAUUUAUCAUUGACUGCAUUCUAUUAAGCCCCGAUACAUAGUGUUCCACUAUGACCUGUGUUAACGUUCAUUGUCAAUAAAUGAAUUUGAGGAACUUGCACUAGACGUUCAUUUGCAACAUGUGGGAAAUUGGAUUGUAAAGAUACAUAACAUUCAUAUAUGUGUGCUCGCGCGCUCGCCCAUGUGCAUGCAUGGUUUAUUUAACUCAAAUUCAUGGAAAUAUAUAUUUAAAAAUAACGAAGUACAUAUAAAUCCCGCGAUACGAAAAAUUCAUCCGGAUUAAUCUUGAAGGAGAAGUUCAAGGACAUCAAUUAUCCUUCCUAUUUCCUCCUGUCGCUAAUCCAUGCCAUCCAGUUGCCUGCAUCCAACCCAUUUACCUUUGUGAUUAUUUCAUAUUAUCAAUGUGAAAUUACAGGAUUUUUCAAAUUUCAGAUUCAGUGCAACUGUGCAGGGAAUUAUUAUUGUUUUAAUCUCAUAACUGUCGUGCAUGUCUAAUUUACAGAGAUUGAUUUUCUUCCUCCUCAACUCCCUUUGUGGAUCAUAUGCAGAGGAGUAGACGACAGAAUAAGAUGUAUGAAUCUCUCUCUAUUUGCUGCUAUACUAACAUUGCUUUGGGAGAGAAAAAAACAAUGCAUGACACAGUUGCUGCUAUACUAUCACUGAACUGUUUUAGCUGGACUUUACGUAGAGUCUAGAAAUCUCAUUAAAAAAAAUAGAAACAAAGCGUACCCAGUUAGUAGAUAUACAUCCAACUUCUAAGGUACUAAAUAUUGCAGUUUGCUGACAGUGUGUUUUUCAGGCUACCUACCUACACGUAUUCUUGACUAAUGAUACGUUCAUGGGGAGCAUAAAGAAAGCAGACGUCUUAACCUUUUAGUUAUUAUCAUGUCUGCUUUGAAUAGCAAAAUAAACAUGUUCGGGAGAGAGAGAGAGAGGAAGCUCAGAGUUUUUGGCAGUUUGAAUGCUUACUGAUUGUGGCAUUCCAUGCAUUUGCAAAGAACCAAAGCUAGUAGCUAUAUGGUAACAACGUUUUUUUGUGGCGUCUUGCUUGAUUCUUUGUGAAGAAAGGUAACCAAAGCAAGUAGCCAUACGGUAACAACUAAUUAGGCCAGAGUUUUGAUCUUGGCUAUUUAGGGUUGAACUGUAAGAGGAGACAGAUCGCUUGAUCACCGCACUAAUGCCUUGUGAGUUCUGAAGGCAAAUCUGUGACUCGACCGCUUACUUUUUACUUUAAAGAAGAAAUGUGGGCGCCCUAUACCACGCAGGCAGACUGGGCAGGUGGCCUUGUCUACCGCUUAGCUUUGUUCAGCCCUUUUGAACUGACCCGAGUGUCUCUCUUUCUAACUCGGCCCAAUCGCUUAUGGGCGGCGCGCAGAAGAAAUGCGGUGUUGCUACAGAUUUCUUUGAUCGCUUGAUACAUAUAGAAUAUAUACGAGGUAUUUUCUUGUCAUUUUAAUUUUUAAGUAUUUUUUAUUUAAAAAUAUAUUAAAAAAUUAUUUUUAAUAUCAACAUAUUAAAAAAAUCCAAAAACAAAAUAAAAAUAAUUUAAAUUUUCAAGAAAUAUUGUUUGGAAUACAGUCCCAUAUAAUUACUUCUACUCAAAUAUGAUUGAUUGCCAAUUAAGUUUGAUUAAUUUGUAGAAGAAUCAACAACAAAUCGUAACAUUGACAGUGGUAGAGAAACUGAUUUACUGCUAUAUACAUUGCCACUAAUUAAUUAAUAAAAUAGAUAGGUGGACAGGCAAUUUAUAUAUAUAUCGGAUUGGUUAGGAAGUCAUGGUUAUGAGUUAUGACACGAGGAAGGAAAAGGUCAGCAACCAAUAAUAUAAUACCACAAAUACAGUCUAUGCAACAGUUAUAAUUUUGUUGAGACAUCUUUGUCUCGAUUCAUGCCUAAGUCAUUUAUGCAGGUGCACGUGAUUUCGCAUGGAAGGAACAUUUUUCAUGUUUUUUGCUCGGCGACGAUGGUGACAGACGAGGACGUGUGUUGGCGGUCUACCACAGAAGUUUAAAAUAUUUUCAUCUUUAAGCUUAAAAAAACAUGCACAACAAAAUAUAAUAAUCUUUAAACAAUAAUCCUGGACUAUCAAUCAAAAAAUAUCUAAUUAUAUUCUCAAUGCAAUUACAACUUCCAUUUUUCAACUGGGGCAUACAAAUAAAACAUUGCUAUGUUAUUACCAUAUUAAUUGCUUAUAUUUAUUUUCUAAUUAAAGAAUAAAUAUAAAAUAAAUACUCUAGUUUUCUUAACACUCCAUCUGUUAAACACAAAACAAAUACAAGAGAGAAAUCAUUUCUUAAUUAGUUGUUCUUUGUACUUUUUAAUUGUGUAUAUUUUUGUUAUAUAUUUCACUUUAUUCCGAGAAUAUAUAUUUUGUUGAGUACAAGUCAAAGGAUUUGUUAUAAAAAGUACCAUAGAUAUUAAAUUAGAUGAAUAAAUAUUUAAGUAUUGAGUUCAACAAAUGGCCUGUGAUUUAAUGAUGGAGUGAUUGAUGCUAUUAUUUUUUAAGAUUAAUAAUUCAACUCUAAUAAUUGACAUAAAAUGCUAAAUACUUUAUAAAAAGUAAUGUUGAUAUUUUAAAUGAAAAAAAGGAUCAACUUUAUUAACUUGCAAAAUAAAAAGUUAAUAGGAGUGAAGGAGACAGCAACGAUAUUAGUGCUCACUUAUCAAAGCCGCAGUAAGUUGAGCAUACGAGAGACGGAGGCGUACGACACGUGGCAGAACGCAGACGAUUCGAAUUUGCGACCUUACAUUUCUCCUUUCUAAAAGAAUUGUAAAAAAAAAAAAAAAAACCUUGAAAAAACAAAUUAAAGUUUAUUCCACACACACAUAAAAUAUUCUAUAUAUAUUUUUGGUAGCAUUCCUUCAUCAUUAUUUAAUUUAAAUUAGGGUAAAAAUAAGGCGAGGUCGAAUUUUGGAUCGAGAAUGGGGAGAAAGAAAGUGGAGCUAAAGCGAAUCGAAAAGAAGAUCUGUCGACAAAUCACUUUCUCGAAGAGGCGAAAUGGACUGAUCAAGAAAGCACGCGACCUCUCUCUUCUCUGUGACGUCCAAGUCGCUCUCCUCGUCUUCUCCAGCAGUGGCAAGCUGUAUGAAUUCUCUAGCGCCGGCAGGUACUUACUUUUAUUUAUGUCUUUAUAGCUUGCCUUGUUUCACUUCUCUGCUAGCUUUCUGUCUCAAAAUUGAUCUUCAAUCUCUUAACCCGGAACGAACGCUUAGCAUGAGUUGAUGCUGCUACACUGCACUGUGCGCAUAAUAUUAUGACGAACAGUUUUCUUCAUAAAGUUCAUGUUUGUUUGAUAACUCAUUAUUGAAUCUUGGAUUUCAUGUACCUGAUUUCCUAUUUGAUCAGGUCUGUUUUUGUUUUUGCACAAAUUUUUUUAUUUCCUAUUUUAUUAGGUCUGUUUUUGUAUUUUCACAAAUAAUUUAUUUAUUUUUGUUAUUAUUUCUGGGGAUAUUUGGUGUUUAUCAUUACUUCUAUCUAGAACGAUCCUUAAUAAAAUAAUGAUUUCUGUAGGGGAUAGGUACUCUAAUCUUAGAUUUGUUUCUAUCUACGUUUUUUAUAAUUUAAUGUUUCUGAUUAUCAUCAUUAUUAUUUUUUUUUUGGUUGAUUUCAGUGUUGUCGUUGUUGUGAUAAGUACGAGUAUGUUCGAUAGUUUGACAUGACGAUUAACACAUUUAUACAAGGACGGUAGAGUAGUGUUUAUUUUCGGGGUAAUUGUUGUUGUUAAAAGUAUUUUUAUUUGAAAAUAUAUUUAAAUAAUAUUUUUUUUAUUUUUAAAAUUUUAUUUUUUAUAUUAGCAUAUUAAAAUAAUCUAAAAAUAUAAAAAAAAUUAAUUUUUUUAAAGCACUGUAUCACAAAAAACACAAACACAAUCUAUAUUUAUUUUCUCAAACAGCUCCUUGCUGAUUGCUGUCAUAGCUAGCAUGUAAUUUUAUCUUUUAUUUCUCUAGGAGGGUGUCGGUAAAUAUUUGGAAGUGUGUUGAAAUCAUGGUAGAGUGACUUUUAAAAAAAUGUGUCUUAAAAAAAGUUAAUAAUUUAAUAUUGUUUUAGUGUUUUUUCAAUAGUUUUCAUGUAUUUAUAUUAAAAAUAAAAUAAAAAAUAUAUUUUUUUAAAUAUAUUUUUUUUUUUAAAUAAAAAUACACUGCAUUACAAUACCAUAUAUAUCCUGCACGUGCAUUAUCAUCAUUGGAUGAUGGAUGUCUCUACCUUUGUUCAUAUGACAGAAUGACCACCCACACGUGUAUGCUACUUGUCUAGGAUGCUUUUAACUUGGUAUUCCUCCUCAUUUAGGUCUUAUACAGGUAAGUUAAGUUCUUCCUCGGCUAGGUCUUAUGUAGGUAAUUCAUACGAGAGAUUUCUUUGUAAUAGCUUCGUUUAGGAUUGAAUUCCGCAUGAUGACGUAAGGAAUAAACCCAUUUAGCAUUUAAAUUAAAAGACAAUGUCCAACUACAUGACAAAGUAGCCUUAGCGUCAGGUGUCUACAGUCUCGUGUUGUUGCCAAACUUGCUAGCUGGCCCUAGUACCAAGUGUUUGUUCCUGGCCUGCUGCCAGAUACGUCGGUUUGGCCCUAGUAUCCUAACUUGAAGCCAAACACCAGGUGUCUGCAGCUGUUUCGUGCAACCCCAUCAAAAUCCAAACUGACUAUUUUUCCCAAACUAAAACUAUAAUCCCGUCACCUACAGUUUUUGCAACUCUCUGUGUCAAAGGCAACCCUGUCAUUAUGGGGAAAACUCAUAGUGCUUUUAACAAAGAGCAAACCUAAACAGUGCAGUCCAUAGUGAAAACAUUUACGUACAGUCUACCGUACUUUGCGCUAUUGUACCGAACAGUGCAAUUCACAAUGAAAACACUCAUGUGGAACUCAAUCUAUAGUAAACACUAAUCCCUUUUAGUUAUAGUUAAUUAGCUAGUUGUCGAUUACAUUAUUGUGUUCUUUUUUCCCUUUUAGUUGCUUUAUUUUUAAAACGAGUUAUAUGAUAUUACCAUGAAGUUGCUUAUUUUUAAGAUUUUUUUAUAGCAUUUGGUUAUUGUCUAGUAACAAAAACAAUAUAAUAAUUAGAAUAGAAAGUACAUAUCUUGAUGUCCUCCAUGUUUUAAAAUAAUAAAAAUUCAUUUCAAAAUUUAUUUUCAUGUUUUUAUAUUUGUUUUUUUAUAUCUUGAGACAUUAAUUGUUCAUAUGGUAAACUAAUCAAACAAUAUCUUGAGAUACUAAUCAAACAAUAUCUUAUACUUCCCUUAAUUGUUCAUAUGGUAAACUAAGAAGAGAGAUAAAUUAAUGAGUAUAUAUGGAUGCAUGUUCAUAAAAGGAAUAUUAGGAUCUUCCACAAUUUGACAUCGCCUUCAAUAUGCAUGCAUAUAUUUACUCAAUUUAAUUAUUAAAUGAUGUGGACAAUAUUAUUUUUAUCUAAAUGAUGUGGAUACCGAAGUCUAAAGCUAACACAUUUUAACAAUCCUAUCAUUUAAAUAAACUUGAUGCUAAAACAUGUUUGUUUUUAUUUAUGUUUUAAAAGUGUUUUUAAAAAAAAAUUAAUUUUUUUAUAUUUUUUUACUUUAAAUUAAUUUUUUUUUCGUAUUUUUAGAUUAUUUUAAUAUGUUAAUAUUAAAAAUAAAUUUUCCCAAACAUCUCCUAAAAGCAGUUAACUAAAUUUUUUCACUAAAUGAUGUGUAAUAAGCUAACAUUACUCGAUUAAAAAAAUUCCUUGAUAACGUGUCUUCAGUUAACAGAAUUUAAUAAAUUACACUCAAGUAUAGCUAGCAUUACUCAUGCCAACACUGUGUCUAGCGUACUCCCUUCAAACAAAAAUAAUAGGAAAAGAAAAAAUUAACCCUAAACUACCAUGUCUGUCCCAAUUAGGUCUCCCACCUAUCAAUAUGAUCUACAAAUUAACAAUCUAUUAAAUAUGUACAUAAGGUCACUCUUUUUAAGCCAAAUUUAGGCCCAAAACAUGGGAUAAAAAAAUUAUUUUCAUUCUAAAAGCUCAUUUAUGUGACUUGAGGUAAAUUCUCAAAUGUAUAACUUUAUUAUCAAAAAAUUGUGGGGAAAAAAAAGAAAUAUUAAGAAUCCAAAUCUUGCACCAAAAUUGAAUGAAAGAUUAACCCAUUGUGCCUAUUUAACCUGUCCUUGACUAAGUGGGAGACUUAAUUAAGAUAAUCAAUGGGGGAGUGCGAGGUUUGCUUUUCCUUAUCAAACUCCUUUAAGUUAAAAAGAUCUCUUCAUUAAACUUAAGCAGGAGCAUUGUCCAUUGAUUAUUGGUCGUUCAACAAGGUAACCUAACCAUCUUUGAUUGCAUACUACCUAUAACAUGCCAUUAGUGAUAAGUUUAAUUAAUUAAUAAUUAUUCCUGAGUCUUAGAAAGUGUCAUUUCCUUGCAAAAAGUAUCUUUGAUUCCUUUUUUAAUAUAUAAUAAUCAAGGAAUUUUAUAAAUAAAUCUAGCUCUAUUAAGGUGAUAGCAUUAUCAAAACAAAGAAACAAGGUCGUUAUGUACAAUGAGGAAAAGAAACAAGGAAAAGAAAAAAACCAACCAUACUUCAGAAGUCAAUUUUUUUUUAUCUAUAUGACAUGAAGAUAUUGGCUAGUAGUCCGUUUCAGAAUACCUUAUGGCCCUCUGAACAAGUCCAUUCAUGUGUACUUGAAGUUACCAUUAAUAGUCUUGAGCCACAAAGCUAGACGAUGAAAAAUUAACUCAAAAACUAUAUUCCAAUAUGGUAUCUCGUCAUGAAAAACCAAUCAAAUUAAUUCCCCACAAAAUUCCAUAGGCCAAUAUGAGGAUUGUUUGAUGUUGAAACCUUUAUUUUACAAGUACACUCCUUUCUAGCAAGACUACUUCUAUGGUCCUUGUCAUUCACUGCUCUAAGCCUAACCAAUUCAUAAAACGGUUCCAAACUUAUUCCAUUAGCCAGUAAAAUCUUGUCCCUUUACAGCGAUUAUUUUUGGGUAUUAAUUUUUAACUAUGAUCUCGAUCCAUCUUUCAAUCUGCAGUGAUGAGUUUUUUUAUCCUUAACAUCUAAUAUCAAUACUUUAAUUAUAGAUAUUUAUUUUUGUUGAGGCAAGUGUAAAAUUAGGAAUCGCGCAAAUAUUGUUAUUUAACACGUGAUCCAAAUUCUUUUUUUUUUGUUUUUGUAUUUUUUGUGCACUAAGAAAUGAACAUUGUGUGAGGUUUGUAAGUGAGUCUGUUGGCUGAUCUUACUCCGACAGAAGAAGUCUCCUCUUUAGUUUUUGGUGCGGCCUUUUCAAAGCAUAUUUAAGUUUUAUGGUGUGGUUUCUUUAAGAAGAAUUUUGCAGGUCGUAAACAGACAUUUUUUUUUUGGCUGCUGAGACAGACAGCUAUAUUUCUUGUUCUUUCUGUAAUAGUUAUCUAGACCAUUUUGGGUGUUUUGUGGUGUUUAUUUAGUUGUUUUUAAGCAGCUCCUUAACCAAGAUUUUUUGGAGAAUCGCAUGUUGCGUAGUUCACAUCUCAUAUCUCAUAUAUAGUUUUGUUCAAAGACUUUUGGGUUUAUGUAGGGCUUGUGUCUAUAAAUGUGCGAGAUAUAUUCUAAGAGGUUUAUUGAAGAUUGCAUUCAUUUUCUACCAUAUGAUAUAGACAAUGUUGAACAACGCUGAUUUGCGUGUGCUCCUUUUUUUUGUAUUUUGUGGAUUUUCAUUCUAAUCCCAUCAAUUCUACUAUUCAGUUUGGCCAAAAUCCUGAAACGUCAUCGGAGUUAUUUCGAAGAGAAAACUGCAUUGUCUAAUGGUGCUAAUGAUGCGGAGGUAAGCAAUUACUUUUGUCUGGCUAAAACAUGUAGAGAAUAAUGUUUUAACAAUGGAAAAGCUGAUAAAAAAAAAAGUACACUGUAGCUCAUUCUUUUCAUAUCGUAAUCUUCUUUCGUAUUUGCUUAGUUUUUAUCGUGUAAUUCGAAACUAGGUAUGACUUUGCACAUUUCCUAUUUCAUCUGCAGCUAUAUCACGGUAAAUAUGAAAAAAAAAUCAAGUCGUUUGCAGAGCUGUUGCAAACAGUACAAAGGUAACUUGUACAGCUUCCCGUAUACCUAUGCUAAAUGUUAUGGAUAUCAACGCAUGCUAUCUAUUCAGAUACGUAUAUAUAUAGUAUCCACAGGCAAGUUGGGGAUUCAAACUUCGAGGAGCUGACCUUAAGCGACCUAGAACAAACGGAGAUGCAAGUUGAUGCUGCACUGAGACGUACGAGAGCUAGAAAGGUCAUUCGUGUCUCUGUCUUUUUUCUUUGAAGAGCCAUUAUAUGGUGCAUCAUGGACCAAAUUGCUCCACUCGACAAAUAUUUGAUGCCGCCAAGUGCAUUAAUAGUGGCACCAUUUCAUUUUAACAUGCUCUGCGUGUGAUGAUUUGAUCUUGGCUUAGUAUCCAUUACAAAAUGGAGCACGUCCCAUAUAAUAAUACUUUAUGGAUAUUGCUAGGUUUACAGUCUCACAUCAAUAUCUUGAUCUAGACUUGAAAAUUAGAUACCCUUGUUUUGAGCUACCUUGAUUGUCCCUCCAGCAUAAUUCUCAAAAGAAAAAAAAAAUAAACAAAAGAAACAUUCCUCCAACAUAACUUGCCGAGGGUUUGAUAUCUUGAUAUAUAUAAAAAUGCUUUGCACCUUCUUUUAUUGACACUUUGGAGCUAUUAUGCCGUGCAUUUCUUGCAUAGACAACCUAACUCCAAGUAAACUUGGAAAAGAUCUCAGCAACAUGUCUGCGUCUCUUCAUUUAAGCACCUUCUUGGCUAUUGAUCAAUAAUUCCACUAACUGGCACACUUCACAGGCCCAUGGUAGUCAAGUACUUGCUUGUGAUUUGUGUAUUAGCAACACGAAAUCGAGGUUGGUUUUCAAUGCUGCUAGAUACCAAACAAUUCCAUGUUUGGCUACACAUGUGGACUUCAGUCCGAGAUUCGCAUUGGACGUGUGGCUGUAAUGGUUUGCAUUUAGCUGGAGGGGUAGUCAGGAUGCCCACUUGCUGAAAGAAAAAUAAAUAAAUAAAUAAAAAGCCUGUAUUCCAAGACAGUCCUGAACUUGUUAGUGUGGUCUCAUAAUUAGCUGACUUAAGAGGAAGAACUAGAUGCUUAGCCUUGAUGAGCAACUUAUCUAUUUCAUGAUUACCUUUAGUUAUCAUUGGGGUUUUCUCCUUCAAGGUCUUUAGGUGGCAAAUAUUCAUUUGAACAUAAGAAAGUUGCCAUCGCUCUAUGCUUUUUGAACUUUCACUCUGCAUUUUGUAAUCUCAUUUGAUUUGUGUUUGUUUCAGACGGAACUGAUGUUGGAAACAAUUAAUGCCCUCAAUGACAAGGUAUGGAGCUUAUUUCAUUAUCAAACAUUACUUUGCAACUAUCAAUAUUCUGUCAUCCAUCACUCUAUUCAAGUUUCGAGGAAAAAGAAAAGGAAAAGAAAAGUUGAUCUUUAUCAAGAUCUUUAUGAAAUUAUUCCAAUAGUUCCCCUAGACUAUAUAUAUAUACCCUUUUUAUAUGAUCAAGCUUCGAUGCUUAUUUACUAGCUAGAUUUAAAAAAAUUUCCACCCUAGUUUGUAAAAACACGGGAUUGUAAUCACUGGAUUACAACUAGUCAACCUGCAUAUAUACAGCUGGCUGCUUGAACGGUUAGAAAGGAACGGCUGGUUUGUCCAUCACAUGCCGCAGACUUUAUUCUAAUAGUUCCACACUAGCAGCAUCCAUGCUUUCACUAUCGUUCCUUUAAAAUCUGCGUUUUCAUUUGCAACCAAUGCAUGGAUGCUUCUUUGAGAACCAGACCUCUUCACUUCAGAUGCUCAAUUUUGCUCUAGCAGGUCUUUAGGCCUUAACAGGAUGGUGUAAAGAUGAUCCUCGAUACAACUUCCAGGUUUUAUAUUCAUCCAAACACCUUGACUGGGCAAACACUUGCAUGAUCUUUAAUGCUUUUGAAAAAGCUAGCUGCUAGCCGAGAAAACCUAUUGCCCUGCACAUCCUACCGGCUAAUCUCUAGCAUGCAAAAAUACUCACAUAGAUGAUAAGAUGAGGAUUUGAAAAAACAUAUAUAUUAGCAAGAAUGGUGCGACUUGGAACUUCAUGCAAAUCUCUUAAAAGCUGCUACAUUCAGAUGUCUCAAUCAAUUGAUGAUGUUCCAAGCCUGCAUCUAAUAUUUGUUUGUAUAUGCUGUAAUUGUCAUCUAAAAAAGUUUGCUCUGCCUCUUGCGGUAUGUUGCAAGAUGGCAUGCUACCCAGUAAAGAACUCAGAAAUGAAACCUGGAAUGCUUCUAAACAGACAUCGGAGAACUAUAUAUAUAUCUCGUCCAAUCAUCUGUUUCACUUCCAACGAAUGUCUAGGAUAAUAUUAUGUGCGAGAUAAUCUUGUUUGGGCCUUUGUUGUCUCUAAAUUAUCACAUCUUAAAAGGCUGGGUCGAGCUACUGUGCUUUUCUUACGCCCUUCUCCUCAGGAAGGGUAUCGGAUAAAUCAGAAGUAAAACUCGAACGAGGGCAGGUAAUUAACUAAUAUCAUGAAGAACUGGAACAAUAAAUUAUACAUUUGAAGUAGAUAUGAAUGUCAUUAGGACUCUGUUAUCUGACUGCAUUUUUGUGUUGGUAGAAACAUGUGCUGCUUGCUCGCACAGUAUUUCUCUUCCAGCAUGUCUUUGUACGCCUGUUUGUGCAUGGGUGUAAUGCACACGUGUCAUUCAACAUGAAUAGCUGUGUUAGAAUUAGGGGUGGUGUCGGUGCCGCAUUCCAUUUUUACGGAGAGAAAUAUAUAUAAACGAGUUAGCUAGCUAGGGUGAGAAUGUAUAAGGCCAUUACACAUCACGUGGACUGCUAAUCUCUCCAUCCAUAAUUAGAUGUUGAUUUUGCUAAAACAUAACUUUUGCUCUCAACAGGAAAAGACACUAAGGGAGGAAAAUCAACGUCUACAGACGCAGGUGAGCAUAAGAAUGAAUAAUCUUAGGAUGUCACCGUACGUGUUAAGCACAUUCUUCAAGUUUUUUUACAAGGCAAACUGGAUGUUGUCGACAUGACUAUCUUACAUGUAGGUUGUAGCCAUGAACAAUGACAAUGAGACUAAUGGCAUGAUGUCUGGAUCUUUUGAACCACUAUUUGGUUUGCUUAAACAGUAGGUUUGAAGGCCGCACUGCAUACAAAGUUAAACUUGAUGCUGGAAGUGGUCGGAAUGGCAGAAAAUCUGGCAAUCGCCUGCAUGAUCUUAAAUGCACAUGCGUUAGCAAAAGAUAUGUACCUUCAUUAUAUUGUUCUUGUAUUUCCAUUGCAGCUUCUCUCUUCAGGGAAAUGUUGAGUGAGUGUGUAAAGUUUCCUCCUCACCUCCGAAGUCUCUCAGACGCUUAUCACCACUGUGUCUCCUAUCAUAUAUAGGGGUACUCUUCAUUU